ACACAUGCAAGUCGAACGGAGUUAGAGAGAGCUUGCUUUUUCAAACUUAGUGGCGAACGGGUGAGUAACGCGUGAGUAACCUGCCCUGGAGUGGGGGACAACAGUUGGAAACGACUGCUAAUACCGCAUAAGCCCACGGCCCGGCAUCGGGUUGAGGGAAAAGGAUUUAUUCGCUUCAGGAUGGACUCGCGUCCAAUUAGCUAGUUGGUGAGGUAACGGCCCACCAAGGCGACGAUUGGUAGCCGGACUGAGAGGUUGAACGGCCACAUUGGGACUGAGACACGGCCCAGACUCCUACGGGAGGCAGCAGUGGGGGAUAUUGCACAAUGGGGGAAACCCUGAUGCAGCGACGCCGCGUGGAGGAAGAAGGUUUUCGGAUUGCAAACUCCUGUCGUUAGGGACGAUAAUGACGGUACCUAACAAGAAAGCACCGGCUAACUACGUGCCAGCAGCCGCGGUAAAACGUAGGGUGCAAGCGUUGUCCGGAAUUACUGGGUGUAAAGGGAGCGCAGGCGGACCGGCAAGUUGGAAGUGAAAUCUAUGGGCUCAACCCAUAAAUUGCUUUCAAAACUGCUGGCCUUGAGUAGUGCAGAGGUAGGUGGAAUUCCCGGUGUAGCGGUGGAAUGCGUAGAUAUCGGGAGGAACACCAGUGGCGAAGGCGACCUACUGGGCACCAACUGACGCUGAGGCUCGAAAGCAUGGGUAGCAAACAGGAUUAGAUACCCUGGUAGUCCAUGCCGUAAACGAUGAUUACUAGGUGUUGGAGGAUUGACCCCUUCAGUGCCGCAGUUAACACAAUAAGUAAUCCACCUGGGGAGUACGACCGCAAGGUUGAAACUCAAAGGAAUUGACGGGGGCCCGCACAAGCAGUGGAGUAUGUGGUUUAAUU
rnacentral:rRNA from 1 species